GGAAUAUUGGACAAUGGGGGCAACCCUGAUCCAGCAAUGCCGCGUGUGUGAAGAAGGCCUGCGGGUUGUAAAGCACUUUCAGUAGAGAAGAAAAGCCUACGGUUAAUACCCGUGAGCCUUGAAGUAACCUACAGAAGAAGCACCGGCUAACUCCGGUCCAGCAGCCGCGGUAAUACGGAGGGUGCAAGCGUUAAUCGGAAUUACUGGGCGUAAAGCGCGCGUAGGCUGUUUUGUAAGUCGGAUGUGAAAUCCCUGGGCUUAACCUGGGAACUGCAUUCGAUACUGCAUAACUAGAGUAUGGUAGAGGGAAGUGGAAUUUCCGGUGUAGCGGUGAAAUGCGUAGAUAUCGGAAGGAACACCAGUGGCGAAGGCGACUUCCUGGGCCAAUACUGACGCUGAGGUGCGAAAGCGUGGGGAGCAAA
rnacentral:rRNA from 1 species